ACGGGUGAGUAACGCGUGGGUAACCUGCCCUGUACACACGGAUAACAUACCGAAAGGUAUGCUAAUACGAGAUAAUAUGCUUUUAUCGCAUGGUAGAAGUAUCAAAGCUCCGGCGGUACAGGAUGGACCCGCGUCUGAUUAGCUAGUUGGUAAGGUAACGGCUUACCAAGGCGACGAUCAGUAGCCGACCUGAGAGGGUGAUCGGCCACAUUGGAACUGAGACACGGUCCAAACUCCUACGGGAGGCAGCAGUGGGGAAUAUUGCACAAUGGGCGAAAGCCUGAUGCAGCAACGCCGCGUGAGCGAUGAAGGCCUUCGGGUCGUAAAGCUCUGUCCUCAAGGAAGAUAAUGACGGUACUUGAGGAGGAAGCCCCGGCUAACUACGUGCCAGCAGCCGCGGUAAUACGUAGGGGGCUAGCGUUAUCCGGAAUUACUGGGCGUAAAGGGUGCGUAGGUGGUUUCUUAAGUCAGAGGUGAAAGGCUACGGCUCAACCGUAGUAAGCCUUUGAAACUGGGAAACUUGAGUGCAGGAGAGGAGAGUGGAAUUCCUAGUGUAGCGGUGAAAUGCGUAGAUAUUAGGAGGAACACCAGUUGCGAAGGCGGCUCUCUGGACUGUAACUGACACUGAGGCACGAAAGCGUGGGGAGCAAACAGGAUUAGAUACCCUGGUAGUCCACGCCGUAAACGAUGAGUACUAGCUGUCGGAGGUUACCCCCUUCGGUGGCGCAGCUAACGCAUUAAGUACUCCGCCUGGGAAGUACGCUCGCAAGAA
rnacentral:rRNA from 1 species